rfam:Euryarchaeota archaeon RBG_16_67_27 RBG_16_scaffold_5121, whole genome shotgun sequence.
GCCGUCGUAGCUCAGUCUGGUAGAGCCCCUGACUGUUAAUCAGGUGGUCUCCGGUUCGAAUCCGGACGACGGCG